AGUAAGGCACUGUCUCAGACUAAGCUCAAGGGUAUUAUCUGUUCAUAUCAGUUUAAUAUCUGAUAUGUCCUCUAUCUGAGGACAAUAUAUUAAAUGGAUUUUUGGAGCUGGGAAAUGGAAUAGGAGCUUGCUGUAUCCACUCCACGCAUUGACCUUGUAUUGCAGUACCUAAAACAAAUAAAAAAAAU
rnacentral:snRNA from 1 species